rnacentral:rRNA from 1 species
AGAGUUUGAUCCUGGCUCAGGAUGAACGCUAGCGGCAGGCCUAACACAUGCAAGUCGAGGGGCAUCACGAGGUAGCAAUACUUUGGUGGCGACCGGCGCACGGGUGCGUAACGCGUAUGCAACCUACCUUUAACAGGGGCAUAACACUGAGAAAUUGGUACUAAUUCCCCAUAACAUUCGAGAAGGCAUCUUCUUGGGUUAAAAACUCCGGUGGUUAAAGAUGGGCAUGCGUUGUAUUAGCUAGUUGGUGAGGUAACGGCUCACCAAGGCAACGAUACAUAGGGGGACUGAGAGGUUAACCCCCCACAUUGGUACUGAGACACGGACCAAACUCCUACGGGAGGCAGCAGUGAGGAAUAUUGGUCAAUGGACGCAAGUCUGAACCAGCCAUGCCGCGUGCAGGAAGACGGCUCUAUGAGUUGUAAACUGCUUUUGUACGAGGGUAAACUCACCUACGCGUAGGUGACUGAAAGUAUCGUACGAAUAAGGAUCGGCUAACUCCGUGCCAGCAGCCGCGGUAAUACGGAGGAUCCAAGCGUUAUCCGGAUUUAUUGGGUUUAAAGGGUGCGUAGGCGGUUUGAUAAGUUAGAGGUGAAAUACCGGGGCUCAACUCCGGAACUGCCUCUAAUACUGUUGAACUAGAGAGUAGUUGCGGUAGGCGGAAUGUAUGGUGUAGCGGUGAAAUGCUUAGAGAUCAUACAGAACACCGAUUGCGAAGGCAGCUUACCAAACUAUAUCUGACGUUGAGGCACGAAAGCGUGGGGAGCAAACAGGAUUAGAUACCCUGGUAGUCCACGCAGUAAACGAUGAUAACUCGUUGUCGGCGAUACACAGUCGGUGACUAAGCGAAAGCGAUAAGUUAUCCACCUGGGGAGUACGUUCGCAAGAAUGAAACUCAAAGGAAUUGACGGGGGCCCGCACAAGCGGAGGAACAUGUGGUUUAAUUCGAUGAUACGCGAGGAACCUUACCCGGGCUUGAAAGUUACUGACGAUUCUGGAAACAGGAUUUCCCUUCGGGGCAGGAAACUAGGUGCUGCAUGGUUGUCGUCAGCUCGUGCCGUGAGGUGUCGGGUUAAGUCCCAUAACGAGCGCAACCCCUACCGUUAGUUGCCAUCAGGUCAAGCUGGGCACUCUGGCGGGACUGCCGGUGUAAGCCGAGAGGAAGGUGGGGAUGACGUCAAAUCAGCACGGCCCUUACGUCCGGGGCUACACACGUGUUACAAUGG